AUGCCACAUAUAGGGGAUAUGAUAACAUGUUUGUCUUUCACGUGGACAGUGAAACUUUAGAGUAAAGCUUCCCAAAUGUUUUCAAGCCGUAGCAUAUGUAGAGAAUGAACAUGCGGGUGUGGUAGCCUGGGGUAAACAGUUCGAUCAAGGCCAGCGGCGAUAGAUAAGAUAUCCCAGUUUUCCCCACCGGGCCAAACCCCCUUAAGAACUAGACCAUAGGUAUAUUAGGAAAAGGCAUCUCGUCUGGGGAUUUCAGCCCCAUUUUUCCCUUGAAGCAGAAUGAUGCCCUUAUUCUGUGUGCACAACCUGGGCAGCUGUCUUCAGGAUCCUGCUAAGGCAUGAGGGAUCAAUUUCUGGGCACCCACAUCUCCAGCCAUGACAUACAGGCGAGGAAGCUCUGAGCUAGAAUUUUCAAGCUUUUGUUGUCUUUCUUCCUUUACUUCAUUGCUCCUCUUCACUGCCUUCUGCUAAGCACAGCCUGCCCUGUGGCCUCCUAAGCAGUAAGUUAGGCUGGGGGUUCUUGCUGCAUCAGCAUCACUUGGAUCUUGUUCGAGAUGCAAAUUCUUGGACCCUAGUAACCCAAACCUACUGAGUCAGAAAUUCUGGGCUGGGGCCCAGUGAUAUCUGUGUUUAACAAGCCCUCCAAGUGAUGCUGAUGCUCUCUAGGCACAAAAGUAAUAAUAAUAUUAACAACAAUGCUUUUCACUUCUGGAAUGCUUCCUCUGAUGGCUCACUUGCUAGAUGAUGGCAGCCAAUCCUGUGAGGGGGUCAUAAAGAAGAGGAAACUGAGGCAUAGAGAUGAGUGAUUUAGCCAGGCCACACAGCUAAAGUAUAGCAGGAAAGAGACAGUGUUUGAACUGAGUUCUCUCAAUUCCCACAAUUGCUUAGUCACAUGACUUUCUUCUACAUCUUCAGUAUUCCGGAGAGCUUGAAGAUCCUGGUUUUAAAAUAUGCUGUCCUAAUCUCUCUUUCUGUCCCUUGUACCACUCAAUCUGUGCCUCCCAAACGUGCCAGUCCUAUAUGAGGCACUGGGGCUACAGAGAUAAAUAAGAUUCUGUCCCUUCUCUCUCUUUCUCUCUCUUUUUUUUGUCCCUUUUCUAGAGCUACUCCCUUGGCAUAUGGAGGUUCCCAGGCUAGGGAAAAAAAAAAUACAUUUGCAGUGGUUGCUGAAGCCCUCUCUCCUAGCUUGGCUGGGGUUGAUUUGCAGCAAAAUCAGAGUUAAUGGUGAGUGAGUCUGUGUGUGUGGUAGGGUGAGGGGGCAGGGGUUAGGUAAAGAAAUCAAAUUAUUGUAUCACUCAAAGUCACAAAGAAAUAGUGUGUGUGUUGGUGGGAGUGUGGUUUGGAUUCAGAAAACUCAUGGUUGGAUCUUUUAUUCAGGCUGACUCUGUACGCAGGUUCAGUUCUUGGUAAAAAAGCACAGCUGGUUUGGUGCCAGGCACCUACCAAGGAACUUCAUUUUUUCUUGUGACUGUCCCUGUAAACUGCUAGCUUGACUCUUCUCUCCCUGCCACCUUGGAUGAAAUCUUUGAGAGGCAGAAAUUUGGCCAUCAUUUCUUUGGUCACUCAUCUUACAUAACAACAAAGCUUCCCCAGACACUCAUGUUUCCAUGAAUAGUCUCAUUUCCAUAAUAAAAAUUCCAGUCUGGGAGUUCCCGUUAUGGCGCAGAAGGAAUGAAUCUGACUAGGAACCAUGAGGUUGCGGGUUCGAUCCCUGGCCUCGCUCAGUGGAUUAGGGAUCCCACAUUGCUGUAGCUGUGGUGUAGACUGGCAGCUGUAGCUCUGAUUGGACCCCUAGCCUGGAUCCUCCAUAUGCUAAGGGUGCAGCCUUAAAAAGCAAAAAAAAAAAAAAAUUCCAGUCUGGGUAAUUGAAGGGUCUGGGUCAUAAAUUCCCAAUUUUAUUCAAAGUGAAACUAUGUCUUCUCCCCGAGGUUAGGGCCUGCUUAGGGCCCCAGCUCUGGUUUUCUUUGGUUCCUCCAGGUAACAUGGAGGAUGGAGCUUGGAAAAGCUCAUCUUUCCACGGUUCCUGGUACCCAUGGUCUCUGGCUUUGGUUCCUCCUGGCUAUGGCCAAGGGUUAAGCCAGAGUCUUUCUCUCUUAAAGGGUAUCCUGUGGGUCCCUGGAAACCCUUAUCAUUGGAGGUCUCCCAACGGCAGUUCCUGUAAGGCACAGAGUGUCUCUGCUUCAUUUCUUGUAGACUCACCAUGGGGGUCAUUGCACGUGGGUGGCUUUUCUGAAUAAAGCUUUUCGCAUUUCCGUGGGAAGUGAUACUGUGUCCUCAGUCCCACCCCGCGGCUGGAGUGCUGGCCAUUCCCAGUUCAGCGCCCCUCCUCUCUUCUUUCCUCAGCCCCGCCUCUUCUUGACCAUUGACCUCUGGGCGAGGGGACAAACACCCACCUGGUGUGUUCUCCCAAAGUCCAGGGACAAAGACCAAGCUCUCCAAGUUGCCCUCUUUAGGGCUCAGAAGAGAAGGAAGUAAUCCCAUCUCCUGCCUUGAGGCGGGGCCAGGAUAAACACUGCAUUCCAGCUUUUCCCAAGAAAGUCUUUCCUCUCAGCCUCGUCAGUCUCGACACUUUUAUACCUUCAAG
ensembl:lncRNA